rnacentral:rRNA from 1 species
GCCUACGGGAGGCAGCAGUGGGGGAUAUUGCACAAUGGGGGGAACCCUGAUGCAGCGACACCGCGUGGGUGAAGAAGCGCCUCGGCGCGUAAAGCCCUGUCAGCAGGGAAGAAAAUGACGGUACCUGAAGAAGAAGCCCCGGCUAACUACGUGCCAGCAGCCGCGGUAAUACGUAGGGGGCAAGCGUUAUCCGGAUUUACUGGGUGUAAAGGGGGCGCAGACGGCGAUGCAAGCCAGGAGUGAAAGCCCGGGGCCCAACCCCGGGACUGCUCUUGGAACUGCGUGGCCGGAGUGCAGGAGGGGCA